rnacentral:rRNA from 1 species
UACGGGGGGAGCAAGCGUUGUUCGGAUUUACUGGGCGUAAAGCGCGCGUAGGCGGCUUUGCAAGUCGGGUGUGAAAUCCCCAGGCUUAACCUGGGAACUGCAUUCGAGACUGCAUUGCUAGAGUAUGGGAGAGGGAAGUGGAAUUUCCGGUGUAGCGGUGAAAUGCGUAGAUAUCGGAAGGAACAUCAGUGGCGAAAGCGACUCCUGGACCAAUACUGACGCUCAUGUGCGAAAGCGUGGGGAGCAAACAGG